AUUGAACGCUGGCGGCAGGCCUAACACAUGCAAGUCGAGCGGAUGAAGGGAGCUUGCUCCUGGAUUCAGCGGCGGACGGGUGAGUAAUUCCUAGGAAUCUGCCUGGUAGUUGGGGAUAACGUCCGUAAACGGGCGCUAAUACCGCAUACGUCCUGAGGGAGAAAGUGGGGGAUCUUCGGACCUCACGCUAUCAGAUGAGCCUAGGUCGGAUUAGCUAGUUGGUGGGGUAAAGGCCUACCAAGGCGACGAUCCGUAACUGGUCUGAGAGCAUGAUCAGUCACACUGGAACUGAGACACGGUCCAGACUCCUACGGGAGGCAGCAGUGGGGAAUCUUGGACAAUGGGCGAAAGCCUGAUCCAGCAAUGCCGCGUGUGUGAAGAAGGUCUUCGGAUUGUAAAGCACUUUAAGUUGGGAGGAAGGGCAGUAAGUUAAUACCUUGCUGUUUUGACGUUACCAAAAGAAUAAGCACCGGCUAACUUCGUG
rnacentral:rRNA from 1 species